rnacentral:lncRNA from 1 species
UUUGAGGGAUACAUUUAAAAGGAUCUUGCUAGGUAUUGUAAAUGUGAGUAACACACUUACUACUUGGCUAGCUACAGAUCAAAUAUUCACUGGUCAACAACAUACUCAUUGAUCAUCUUAAUUAUUAUCAUCUUCAUCCUGAAAAUCAGACAAAAAUAAAUAAAGUUGACAUUAGACACCAUGGGAUAUUUUGACUAAGCAAUAGUUAUAAAUGUGUACACUUGCUAGGCCUAGAAUAUAAGAGAUAGAGAGAAAGAGAAGCAAAAGAAGUGGCUUUAGCUCUCCACAAAUAAGUUGGUUAGUUACUUCCACUGGAACUUGUCUGCAAAUCGUUUAAAGCAUGCUAAUCCUCUUAACAGCUGAAGUGAACACGGAUAGCUUGUGAUCAGCUGUGUGAAAGAAAAGUAAGAAAAACUACUUUAGAAGCACAAUAUGAAACCGCAUCUGAAGAGAGAAUUUUCUUUAAAAAUGCUUGCCAAAGAGAUCGCCUUUGAGUCCAUAGUUGUCUUCAAAAUUCUCACGUGAAUGGAAGCUGAACCUGUCUUCGUCAAUCUCCAUUCGGUUAUCUUGAAGCUCCGAAAGGAUAGAGUUGUGCGUGAGACAAAUGUUUAAAGCAAUAAAAUAAAUCAACACAUCAGUUCAUGUUUAGUUAAUGGGAACAAAUCAAUGAAAUCUAAAGCAAUAAAAUAAAUCAACACAUAAGUUCAUGUCUAACCUGUUCCUCAAUAAGCAGGAGCACUAAACCAAUUAAAAAUGCUCCCUUGCCGUGUACCUCGCUUCCCAUAAAUGAGUUAGCCUCCGAUUGUCCCAAUCUGGGACCGACCUCGUUGAAGAACAUAACAUAGCUGUCAGUGCCUUGCCGGUUGAUCUGGACGUUUGAUUUGCAGUCACGGAGGAGGCAACGGUCUUGUUGUUGGUCUUGCGGUCGCUGGAAAUUGAAGAGUGGAUUUAUGGUAACGGCGAAGUGCUGGAAUUUGAUCAUUGAUGACCUAAGAGGAGUCGGGGAAGAACAAACUUCAAGUUUCAGACAGGGGUGAUGGGCUUGAAUUGAGUCAUUU